UGUUAUUUUAAUAAGAAUGAUCUAAAUCGGAGACAAUUCUCAUCAGAUUUCAAAAAGCUUAUUCCAAUACGUAUAUGCAUUUGCAUAUAAAUCCGGUCCCUAGUAAUAACCAACGUUUGAAAAUUCCGAAAUUUCAAAAUAUUCAAGCUAAAUUUAUAGAUGUAAAGGAGGUGGAAUUGGGAAAAGUGGACUGACCAAUCUCAAAUAGACAUAAUAACGAAUUCAAAUCUGAUUUAAAAAAGUAUUAUCCCAAUACUAGAUUGAUGAGUAUGAUGAAAUAAAAAUUGGAUAUUGAGGCUAAAAUAACUGUUUAAUAUAUUAUAAAUUAUAGUAUUACGUUAGGAACGUUUUUCCCGGUCAGCCCGCAUCGUGCCAUAAAAAACUAUGUUUCAAAAAUACCUAUAAAAAAAGGGGUCAAAAAGUUUGUCAAUUGAAUACAAAUAUGGUUCUUCAUACGUUGUAUAUUCGGAGGUUUUGUAAAUAUUGUCCAUCUUAAACCCCUUAAAAAAACGAUGGUGAAAACCUCUUAAUUGAAUUUAGAGGGAAAAAAUGUGGUCAGAUUUAUUUUAUAAUGUUUUGUAUUAAAUUUAUUUUGUGAUGAUCUUGUAUUAAUUACGAAAAGUAUUGAUUUAUGAUCUUUUUGUGUUUAUUUAUGAAAAGUAUUGCUUUGUGAUAUUUUUAUGAUAAAAUCAAUUUACUGAUAUUGUUAAGUUAAUUAAUAUGAAAAAGUUAAUGCUUUGAGAUGUUUUUGUGAUAGUUUUGUGUAAUACUGUAAUGUGUACUGAAAUGACCCAUAUAUCACUAAAAUUACCAUAGAAAUACGGCCGAUUGGAUAAAAUAUUCUUACAAUAGUGCGUUUGGUUAUCAGUUAUGACUUAUCCACAAACUACAAUAUGGAUUUUGCAGUCGCCUAUUCUAAGAGGUAAGUUUCUACCUAGCGACUAACAAUCUGUUACUAUACAAUUUUAAUACAGCGGUGUAGUUGUCAUGAUAAUUGACAACUGUAAAUAUUUAUAAUACAACCUUUUGUUAUACACAGAUAUUAAUAAUAUGAAUGCAAAGUAUUUUAAUUAUUUUAAGAAACAAUGACUUUCUCAACAAUUUUAUUACUGUAGAAUACAGUGGCAUUAUUUGAACAUAACUCAACUCUUUACGUCCAUGAUGGACUUAUGUACAAUGCCCAAUUAUUUAAUGCCGAAAAUUAUCCGUACGUAAUGUUUAUUCAAUCAAUUAAAGAAGAUGGUAUCGAGAAUCUUACCACAGGCACAUAGUAAAAAAAUUGUUGGUAUUUUCAGCUGGUCACUGUUGUUAUAAUUACAAAUUAACUAGUAUAAAAGCAAGUAUAACUUUGUUGGAUUUCAAUUGUAUUUAAUUACCUUCUUCAUAAUUUAUGAUCCACUAAAAUAUUUUAAAUCCUUAAGCAACUAAUUUAUAAAUGUCAAAAUAGGUACCUAUGUCAAGGAUCACCAUGGAGGGUUGAAGAACCUCUCAAACCUGACUGGUAUAAUGUUGUCAAAAAGUACGUAGCGAAAAAUAUGAUCCAAAAGAUGACAUGUGUGUUAAAUUUCUAGAUUCGAUCCUGUUGUGGGCGUAAGGAGUUGAGUUAUGUUCAAAUAAUAUGCCACUGUAUUCAAGAGUAAUAAAAUUGUUGAGAAAGUCA